GCCAGGUGCAGUGGUGCAUGCCUGUAGUCCCAGCUAUUCGGGAGGCUGAGGUGGGAGGAUUGCUUGAGCCCAGGAGUUCUGGGCUGUAGUGCGCUAUGCUGAUCAGGUGUCUCUACUAAGUUCGGCAUCAAUAUGGUGACCUCCCGGGAGCAGGGGACCAUCAGGUUGCCUAAGGAGGGGUGAACCGGCCCAGGUUGGAAAUGGAGCAGGUUAAAACUCCUGUGCUGAUCAGUAGUAGGAUCGCGCCUGUGAAUAGCCACUGCACUCCAGCCUGGGCAACAUAGCAAACCCCGUCUCAA
ensembl:misc_RNA Metazoa_SRP Metazoan signal recognition particle RNA